rnacentral:tRNA from 1 species
UCCCUGGUGGCUCAGAGGUUAAAGCAUCUGCCUGCAAUACAGGAGACCUGGGUUCGAUCCCUGGUUUGGGAA